CCCACCCACUCUUGCUACUUCACUGGUCAAUAAAGCCUCUCCUCGGAGUAUUUCUGCUCUCCUAUAGAGUAAGACUAGUAAUGACGUCAUUCGCAUGAUCGUCACCCAAUUCAGACCCUUACUCAUCAGUAGGCUCUAGCUCUUAAGGUAGGACGGUAGGAGAAGAGCCAAAUCGGAUUUUAAUGUGUUUUAAACUGUCGUGUUAGCUGUAGAAAUCUAAUUGUAGACCCUGUAAAUAUAUGUGAAUCGUAAUGAAUAAUAAAUAACUUUAAGUGUUGAUAAUAUACGUGUUAAGUGUCGGACUAUGUGUGUAUUAUUAUGGACGAAAAGGAAGUUUUGGACCCCAAGGAAGGAAUGGAUAGGCCUCAAACCAGCAACCCAAUUCCGCUUAUGGCAGAUCAAUAAAUUACCCCCUACUCGAUGUUGGGAAGGGUCCGGUAACCCAACAUAAUGGUCCUUCGAGCCGGAUUAAACUCCAGUAAACCGGACAAAGGAAACUGCCAUCGCCGAGGAUACGUGGCUUUGGCGCCAAACGGAAUAAAGGAUUCCAAGCUUUAUUGUACAUCUAUACAAUUGGCAGCCAUAAGCCAAGGCUAGCUCCAACGUCUUUAAUGUGAACAAUUGCUCAAAUUCUAACUGGAUAUAAGGAAGACUCAAGAUGGCUAACUUUGGAUCUAUUUGGAAUAUCAUCAAACACCAAACGCACUGAAUUAGAAUUGGAAACCGAUCUACCACCAAUACCCGUUUCUGGACUCUACGGAUACUCGUCGGAUUUUAUCAUCAACCUAGGCCCACUGUCUGGUUGCGCAGAAUCAGCUGUUGACGAUUUUCUUCGCAUGACGAACGAUGCCAAAAUUCAACAGACGAUCCAUGACGUCAUCGAGGAGACAUGGAUCGAGUUACAGCUGACACAUAUUCAAGAUCAUUAUCGGGCAAUCAAAAUAUGUACCCAAACAAACUAAGCCUGGUCAUGACAACUCAGCUAUCGUAUUUGUUGGAGAACACACAAUCUUGGAUAUACGGAAUGGAAACUGGCCACCAACUAUCAAUUGUAACGGAUACGGACAACCGUCUGACUUGGAAUGCAUCACUAUCCCGUUUUCAUCACAAACCACAAUUCGAGAUCACUUCUAUCACUGUUUGGAUGGAUCGUACAGCACAACGGAGCCAAGUGGCUGCACCUACUUGGUCAGGUAAGCAGCUUACUGUAUAUGCCCAGCCGAGCUAGGCAUGAGCAAUUUCGUUACUCACACCAAUAAUACAUUUUCGGGAUCAACGACGUCAUCAAUCCACGCUCUCGAGAUCGAACUCUUCUGGAAACCUGGUGAGAGCUGGCAACCAAAUCUGUACACAUGG